rnacentral:rRNA from 1 species
GCCUGUUUAUCAAAAACAUAGGUAAGAGAUUAAAACUAUUCUUAGUAUUUUCUGCUCAGUGUGAAUACAAUAAAUUGCCGCAGUAUACUAACUGUGCUAAGGUAGCAUAAUAAUUUGUCUACUAAUUAUAGACUAGAAUGAAUGAAAUAAUGAGAUUAUUGCUGUCUCACUGAAUAACUUAAAAAUUUAUCUGAAAGUGAAGAAGCUUUUAUUAAUUUGUUGGACAAAAAGACCCUAUGAGCUUAAAUUAAAUACAAUUUAUAAAAGUCUAAAUCUUAACUGGGGCGAUUGGUAUACAUAAAGCAAUACCUAAUAGUAUGAUAAAUAAAUCUCAUACAAGAUCCAUAUAAUAUGAUCUAAAAUAAAGCUACCGUAGGGAUAACAGACUAAUUUUUUUCUAAAGUCCAUAUCAAAAAAAAAGAUUAGCACCUCGAUGUUGGCUUAUAUAAUUAUUUUAGAGUAAAAACUAAAAAAAAAGGUUUGUUCAACCUAUAAUAUACUACGUGAUCUGAGUUCAAACCGGA